UCCCAACUUUUCUUGAAAUGGGGUUUGUACAAUGUUACAGGUGUAGCAAUUUGUCUCAUUUACGACACUAAAUUCCAGCUGGCUAAGAGUGUCAUGCAGGCUGAAGCUGCUCAGCAUUGAGAAGGAGUGGCUCCAGUUGCUCCGAGACCUGUAUGACCAAAAGGAGUGACACCAUCAAAAGCAGAUGGCCCUCAAACAGGCAAAACCAGACCUGCUGGCCAGACAAUUGGAGCUGGCAGAGGCACAGUUUCAGACGUCCUCCAUUUCAGUGCCCAUUAUUCUGCCUUCUGAGCAAGAUGCUGCACCUGCUGGCCAGCAUAUUUUAUCUGAAACAUAAAAGACGUGUUGAUGCCUUUUCAUUUGUUCAAUAAAUCUCUUAAUUUCA